UACGAAGGGGGCUAGCGUUGUUCGGAAUUACUGGGCGUAAAGCGCACGUAGGCGGAUAUUUAAGUCAGGGGUGAAAUCCCAGAGCUCAACUCUGGAACUGCCUUUGAUACUGGGUAUCUUGAGUAUGGAAGAGGUAAGUGGAAUUGCGAGUGUAGAGGUGAAAUUCGUAGAUAUUCGCAGGAACACCAGUGGCGAAGGCGGCUUACUGGUCCAUAACUGACGCUGAGACGGCGAAAGCGUGG
rnacentral:rRNA from 1 species